rnacentral:rRNA from 1 species
AGAGUUUGAUCCUGGCUCAGAACGAACGUUAGCGGCGCGCUUAACACAUGCAAGUCGAGCGAGAAAGAGGGCAACCUCCGGUAAAGCGGCGCACGGGUGAGUAACACGUAGGUAACCUACCCCCAGGUGGUGGAUAACCUCCCGAAAGGGGGGCUAAUACAGCAUAAGACCACGUCUUCGAAAGAAGGUGAGGUCAAAGUCGGCCUCUAUUCAUAAGCUGACGCCAGGGGACGGGCCUGCGGCCCAUCAGGUAGUUGGUAGGGUAACGGCCUACCAAGCCUAAGACGGGUAGCUGGUCUGAGAGGAUGAUCAGCCACACUGGAACUGAGACACGGUCCAGACUCCUACGGGAGGCAGCAGUGGGGAAUCUUGCGCAAUGGGCGAAAGCCUGACGCAGCGACGCCGCGUGAGUGAUGAAGGCCUUCGGGUUGUAAAGCUCUGUGGGGGGAGACGAAUAAGUCGUGGCCAACAUCCACGAUGAUGACGGUAUCCCCUUAGCAAGCACCGGCUAACUCUGUGCCAGCAGCCGCGGUAAUACAGAGGGUGCAAACGUUGUUCGGAAUUACUGGGCGUAAAGCGCGUGUAGGCGGUCCUGUAGGUCAGGUGUGAAAUCCCCCGGCUCAACCGAGGAAGUGCACUUGAAACCCCAGGACUUGAGUGUCGGAGAGGAAGGCGGAAUUGUCGGUGUAGAGGUGAAAUUCGUAGAUAUCGACAGGAACACCUGCGGCGAAAGCGGCCUUCUGGACGAACACUGACGCUGAGA